rnacentral:rRNA from 1 species
AUAGCGUAUAUUAAAGUUGUUGCGGUUAAAAAGCUCGUAGUUGAAUCUGUGUCCCGCGCUGUCGGUUCACCGCUCGCGGUGUUUAACUGGCAUGAUUGCGGGACGUCCUACCGGUGGGCUUAGCCCCCUCUGGGGGCGGCCCAACUAAUAUCCCAUCGCGGUGCUCUUUAUUGAGUGUCGAGGUGGGCCGGUACGUUUACUUUGAACAAAUUAGAGUGCUUAAAGCAGGCUAUUUUCGCCUGAAUACUGUGUGCAUGGAAUAAUGGAAUAGGACCUCGGUUCUAUUUUGUUGGUUUUCGGAACCCCGAGGUAAUGAUUAAUAGGAACAGAUGGGGGCAUUCGUAUUGCGACGUUAGAGGUGAAAUUCUUGGAUCGUCGCAAGACGGACAGAAGCGAAAGCAUUUGCCAAAAAUGUUUUCAUUAAUCAAGAACGAAAGUUAGAGGUUCGAAGGCGAUCAGAUACCGCCCUAGUUCUAACCAUAAACGAUGCCAGCUAGCGAUCCGCCGAAGUUCCUCCGAUGACUCGGCGGGCAGCUUCCGGGAAACCAAAGCUUUUGGGUUCCGGGGGAAGUAUGGUUGCAAAGCUGAAACUUAAAGGAAUUGACGGAAGGGCACCACCAGGAGUGGAGCCUGCGGCUUAAUUUGACUCAACACGGGAAACCUCACCAGGCCCGGACACCGGAAGGAUUGACAGAUUGAGAGCUCUUUCUUGAUUCGGUGGGUGGUGGUGCAUGGCCGUUCUUAGUUGGUGGAGCGAUUUGUCUGGUUAAU